CCUGUUUUUUCUGUAAAAAUGUUACAGAAGACAAUACCUGUGUGCAUAGUGAAAACACAUGUGAUUCGGGAUUGUGGCGGUACUGUUACUCUCGGCUGAUUACUAAAGGAAAAAUUGUGAUAGGUGUGGACCGGGGUUGCAGUGACGUAUGUCGUGUCCUGAAGAAGAAGAAGGAAGACUUUGAGGAAAAGAUGGUGUGCUGUGCCCGAAACCUUUGCAACUACCACAACUUCUGGACUAAUCAAUGAAUCAAUGAAUCAAAGUCUUUAUUGCGGAGGGUUUGAAAGAUCUCUACAAUUCUGUUAAUGACCAGUUCUGUUGCUGAAUCAUUUCUCUCAGAAAAAAACAAAAUGACCACCACAUAAAUCUUGACGGAUGAUUCACAAAUGCACUAAUAUGGAUGUUGCUUUGAUGUGCUGUCUGUCUGUCUGUCUGGCCAGCCUCCUAGAGAGCUCAGUGGUUUAGAUAUCUAGCCUCAGGGCCCAAGGUUAGGAGUUUGUUUCCAUUAAAAGCUCUUUUUUCCUAAAUUCCAUUUUGUGGCCCAAAGCUUUGCUUACUUGAGGAAGAAUAAUAAGAACAGGCCAACCUAACCUCCUUUGGGAGAAGCCAUCAACUCUUGUGUCCUCAUCAAACAUUUCUAUGGGGGUAAGUGAGACUACCAGGACCAGGACAGUUUGAUUUGAAUUAUUUUCAAUUGACUAAAUGAUGUAAAAGUCAAGGCAGAACACCUGGAGUCCCUCCCCAUGUCCAUAGUUUUUUCCUCCAUUGCUGCGGCUUCCACUGUUCUGCUGGAAUCAAAUCCCUUUGUUCAGGCAGUGUGAUCACUUGCACCGAUGUGGAGGGGUCUAUAGUCUCUGUAUUUAAGGCCAUUCUACCCGGGUCUAGCAGCUGUGAGAGAGGCAGGGCAAUGAGUAAAUUGACUCCUAUUUGAAUCCUUUCCACCCCAUGUGUGAUGCCUGAUCUGCUUUCAUCUUCUUUUCCCUUCCUCCAUCUCAGAAAUUGAUUAAUUGAACAGAACAAGGAAUUAACAGAGUCAAGGAAGUUUU
rnacentral:lncRNA from 1 species